UUUAAGAAAAGUGAUUUACAGGAGAAGGUUGUGGGAGGGAAAAAGGAAAUCUAUUUUACCCAAAAAGGAGACAACAUCCUUGCCCGAGGCAGCAUUGUGACAUUGCCAAUGCGACAGGGUUGUGAAAUACUGAGUUUUUGUUUUUGUGGUGAUGUCUGAAAGUACUGGUUACUGCACUGAUGUCUUGUUAUCAUGCAUCUCUAGUUCCGGAUCUACUUCCUUAUAAUUGCUAAUGAAAACAGGGCGAUGAACAAAGCAGUGGCUAGAUCUUCACUGCAAUUAUUCUGUUGUUUGUAUUAAUAGAUGACAUCUUCUGAAAAUUUCUUAAUAAUUAUCUUUGGUGUUUAAGAAAGAAAAUACAAUUGUCUUUUCCCAUAUUUUUAAGGCUAUUUAGAUUUUUGUCCUAUAAGCUGACUUGCCUUUAUUUCUCUAACUCUAGGCAUCCAUUAAAAACAGUCUCUGACUAUUAAUGUGUAUUUUGCAAGUAAUCAAAAUCACAGUAACUGAGGAAAAUUAGGACAAGCCUAAUAGUAGUCAAGCUCCAAAUAGGCUUUAAAAUGAAAAUAGAAUAUGUGACUCAGAAUACAGUACUAGUUCUUCAUCUUACAGAUGUUCUCAGCCAUCAGACUCAGCGUGGGCUAUGACACUGAGAGCAGCCCUGACAUGUUGUGGGAAAUGACCAAAGAAAAACUCUUACAUGUUACACCAGGAAAGAUCUGUUUCUGAACUGUUGAAAUGAGUCUUUAAGGCCAACUUCAAAAAUUGUAUCUGUUAUGACUCCCCUGGAAUGGGACCUGUGAGUGAGAUGCUGGUGCUUGUGGCAUCUCAGGGUAAGUAGGUGGAUGUCUGUCUCUCCCUUGGGCUGACAGAGUCCUGGGCUUUGUUGAGGGA
rnacentral:lncRNA from 10 species